rnacentral:rRNA from 1 species
CCUACGGGAGGCAGCAGUGGGGAAUAUUGGGCAAUGGGCGCAAGCCUGACCCAGCAACGCCGCGUGAAGGAAGAAGGCUUUCGGGUUGUAAACUUCUUUUGUCAGGGAAGAGUAGAAGACGGUACCUGACGAAUAAGCCACGGCUAACUACGUGCCAGCAGCCGCGGUAAUACGUAGGUGGCAAGCGUUGUCCCGAUGUACUGGGUGUAAAGGGCGUGUAGCCGGGUUGACAAGUCAGAUGUGAAAUCCUGCGGCUUAACCGCAGAACUGCAUUUGAAACUGUCGAUCUUGAGUACUGGAGAGGCAGACGGAAUUCCUAGUGUAGCGGUGAAAUGCGUAGAUAUUAGGAGGAACACCAGUGGCGAAGGCGGUCUGCUGGACAGCAACUGACGGUGAGGCGCGAAAGCGUGGGGAGCAAACAGGAUUAGAUACCCUUGUAGUC